rnacentral:lncRNA from 1 species
UUUCCCCCUAUCUUGAAAUUCCAAACGAUCUGAAUACCUAUAUUAGAGGACUACCUUUGUCAUCUCUCUCUAUAUAUAUAUAUAUAUUUAUAUGUUUACGUGUGUAUGUGUGUAUACCCGUAUGACAUAUGUUCAUGCAUUUGCCACCUGUUUGUCUAUCACAGAGAAAGACAUGUUUAGACACAUUGAGGCAGGACAUGUUUAUGUAAGAUAAACAAAGAAAUAUCUUUAGAAGGACCUUGUUGCUUAGCCCAAAGAAAUGAAAGAAAAAGCAUCAGUCUCAAAUAAACAAAAAAUCAAGAAGUGAUCCUUAAAGAUCUUGUGUUUCUCUCAAGCCCUCAAGAACUAGAAGAGUAACCCAAGAAGUAGGAAAUUACCUAAAUUAUCGAGUAAAUAUCUUGUGUAUUUUUCUUGCUUAAAUUUUCUAUAUGUUAUGACAGCUUCAUUUUUAAUGUUGUCUUGUAACUUUUAAGCUGUCAACAAUUAAAUAUAUUUUAUUUUCUGUCUAUUAUGACGUUUUUAGUUUCUCACCAGUUUAAUUGUUGUUGUUGUUGAUUCUUUAGAAUAAGAGCUUUCAAUAUUUUCAUACAUAAUAGGUAUGAAUGUAUAUGGUCUGGUUUUAUUUAAUGUCUGUUGGGGCGAGAAAUUGAUUUAAUCCCUAUUUAUUUUUUGAUAAUUCUAUAGUAAACUAUAAGAUAUAAAAUACAUCAAAAUGUAAAAUACAACACACCAACUGUCAGCGGAUCAAAGGUUAUAUGUAGAAUUUUCAAUUUAAUAGAUUACAUAAUAUUUAAUUAUUUUGUGUAAAGUUACCUAGAUGACAUAAAAGAUUAAUGAGGGCACAUGAUUACUCGCAUGAGGAGAUGGUCUAUUUAUUUGACAUAUCUAAUUUUAGAUUUUGUACUAGAACAUAACUUUAGAUGCAAUACGAGACUUAUAUAUGACCCUUCUUCAACAUUAUUUGUGCAUUAUAAACAAUAAUUCAUUAUUUAAGCAUAAUCUUGUAAUAUAUAAAGAAAAUAAAAACAAGCAUAUAUUAAUUUACAUCAUUAAGAGAGAUUCAACUAUGGGUUAAAACCACAUUUAUCAUUUCAUAUAUACAUUAUUUGAGUACCAGUUUUUUGGAAUUAAAGAUCAAAUAUUUAAUUUACUUUUCUGACAUCUCCACAAGAAAAAACUCAUUAACCUGAUAAUCGAUUACUUCUCCUUUAGCAACAACAGUUGGAGGAGCAUGUCCCCAAUUUAUAUUUUGUUUUAAUUCAUUUUCAUGUCUCUGUUUUUGGUUUGCUAAUCUUUUGGGUUCUUUUACUGCUCUGGCUCCUGUGUAGCUUUCAAGCUCUUCAAAUGUAGGAGAUUUGAGCUUAUAUCUGUCUGAGUUCAACACCUUUAUUUUUUCUAAUUCAUUUUAAUUUGAGAAUUUUUGCAUAUAAACUGACUACAAAUCUAGUAGAGGAUGCCUUAUGUGUAAUUGAUCAAAGACACUAUUGGGGUUCAGAUUAUGGUCAAAUUGAGGGAUUACAAAUUAUUCGAGUAUGAAACUAGAAGAAGAGCCAAUAGGUUUUGCACCAUGAAAGUAUACUCAUUUAUAGGGAGUACUUUUUCCUUUUGGAGUUGAAUCCUGUGGCUAUAGAUUUGGCUCAUUCCAAAUUUGGUUAUAAGUUAUCUUAAGGAAAUUAAUAUAUAUGGCUCUAGAUUCGAGUGAUUAGUAUAGUUGAGUUCAUAGACUGAAGAACUACUUUAGUUCUUUUAUUUGUUUUGCAUUUCUCUGUUCAUUUUUUUCAAGUUUAAUUUCGUGGUAGCUCUGUCCCUUCUCUCCUAAUUGCACUAAAAUGAAGUCCUUGAAAGAGAACUACUAAUUUAAUUUCACCUCCAUCUUCCCGCUUAUUUGAUAAUUUGAUUGUUGUUUAGUGAUUCUCCUCUUCUGUCCUGCUUCAUGAUAAGACUCCUUGUUCAUUUUUUCAAUAUUGCCCGCUUUAAGAUUGUACCACGAGAGGACAUCUUGUUUAAAUUAUGAUUUUCUAGUUAAUAUAUGUUA